rnacentral:rRNA from 1 species
ACACAUGCAAGUCGAGGGGUAACGAUGGUAGCUUGCUACCAGUCGACGACCGGCGCACGGGUGAGUAACGCGUAUGCAACCUUCCUUUAACAGGAGAAUAGCCCCCGGAAACGGGGAUUAAUGCUCCAUGGCACUCAAAUUUCGCAUGGAAUAAGAGUUAAAGUUCCGACGGUUAAAGAUGGGCAUGCGUGACAUUAGCCAGUUGGCGGGGUAACGGCCCACCAAAGCAACGAUGUCUAGGGGUUCUGAGAGGAAGGUCCCCCACACUGGUACUGAGACACGGACCAGACUCCUACGGGAGGCAGCAGUGAGGAAUAUUGGUCAAUGGACGCAAGUCUGAACCAGCCAUGUCGCGUGCAGGAUGACUGCCCUAUGGGUUGUAAACUGCUUUUGUAUGGGAAGAAAAAUAGCUACGUGUAGUUAUUUGCCGGUACCGUACGAAUAAGCAUCGGCUAACUCCGUGCCAGCAGCCGCGGUAAUGCGGAGGACGCGAGCGUUAUCCGGAUUUAUUGGGUUUAAAGGGUGCGUAGGCGGAAUGGUAAGUCAGUGGUGAAAUCCUGCAGCUCAACUGUAGUUGUGCCAUUGAUACUGUCAUUCUUGAGUACAGAUGAGGUAGCCGGAAUGAGUAGUGUACCGGUGAAAUGCAUA